ACCAUAACCUCUACGUUUUGUAAGGUUUCUGACCUUUUGAGAGGAGCCCUAAACUAAGGUGUUAUAUAACCCCCUGCACCCUGCUUGUGGCUCAGUGUUGAGCUAUGAAGAUGAGGUCACUGCUGCUUGUCUGCCUGAUUGUGGUCACACUGACUGUGGCUAUUGCUGCCCCCAAGCAAGAGGGGUCUGAAACGGGCAAAGGAAAAAAGAUUUGUAAAAAAAGACCUGCUUCUCCUGGUGUUGUAUCCUUGCUGGACGGAGAUGGUGAAGAUGCUGGAGGCGGCUAAGCCAGCACAGUAUGGGGCAGAUUUGACAAGGGACAAGAAAAGAAGGCCACCUCCCCUCCAGACAUUCCGAUCAGAGAAAAGAGACAAUUCGAAGCCAACCCAAAGAGACGUCCAAGACCUUGUCUGGGCUGCCUAUCUGUAAUAUCAGCUAAAAAGGAGGCUCCUGUAACAAUUCCUAGGAUGAAACCGUUGGCCAUAGCAACAGGAAAAACUGAUUUAGCACACUUUGAAAAACAAUAUUGAAAAUAUUAAAACAAUCAGCUCUAUCACAAUGACCUCAGUGAAACCCAGCGUGGUUGCGGGAUGAUACAAGAUCCAUUGUAAUGAACAAUAAGUGAAAUGCCGGGGGUCCCGAGUGGCGCAUCCAGUAAAGGCACUCCACGUGCAGUGCAGGAUGUGCCCUAUAGUCUGGACAUCGCGAGUUCGAGUCCAGGCUAUUCCUUUGCCGACCGAGGAUGGGAGCUCCCAGGGGGCGGCGCUCAAUUGGCCCACUCUUCGGAGGACAGCGUGUGUUUGUCUUCGCCAUCCAGAGUCAGCCCUGGGGUGGUAGCGGUGAGCUGAGCAUAAUAAAAUAAUUGGCCAUUCCAAAUUGGGGAGAAAAUAAUAAAAAAUAAUUGGCAACGACUAAAUUUAUAAAAAAAAAAAAAAAAAAGUGAAAUGCUUCAGUUUUUACAAGCUUGAUUAAUAUGCCCCUAUUUACCAGAUAGAGGGGUCUACUAUUCAAUGGUUCUAUAGAAUGUUGACACACGCUGAUGAAAAAAUAGCACCAUCUAGAUUUCUUCCUUAUCAAGCAACUAAAUCAGACACCAUAUAUCUUGUGAUCGUAGCAGAUUUUGCCCAUUUGGAGGAUAAGUGAUACCAAACAUUAAACAAACUACAUGGGAAGUUUUAUUAAAAGGAUUCUCACCUUUCCCCAGCAUACAGCUGAUCCUGUCCUAAUGUGAAGGUGGAUCCAACAAGUGACGUCGUGAUCCUGCCAGUCGAAGUGCAGAAAAAUCACAGUCAAAUGCAUGCUGGCCUGAUAACCAAAUAUUGUUCUUUUUUUUUUUUUUUAAUCCUGCGCUAGUAAAUCAUGUAUCUGUGUCAGGAUAGCAUAUACAGCAUGCUCAUGCCUAAGUAAACAAACAUUUUAAGAACAUAAGAAAGUUUACAAACGAGAGGAGGCCAUUCGGCCCAUCUUGCUCUUUUGGUUGUUAGUAGCUUAUUGAUCCCAGAAUCUCAUCAAGCAGCUUCUUGAAGGAUGCCAGGGUGUCGGCUUCAACAACAUUACUGGGGAGCGGGUUCCAGACCCUCACAAUUCUCUGUGUAGAAAAGUGCCUCCUAUUUUCUGUUCUGAAUGCCCCUUUAUCUAAUCUCCAUUUGUGACUCCUGGUCCUUGUCGAAAAAGUCCCCUGGGUCGACAUUGUCAAUACCUUUUAGCAUUUUGAAUGCUUGAAUCAGAUCACCGCGUAGUCUUCUUUGUUCGAGACUGAAUAGAUUCAAUUCUUUUAGCCUGUCUGCAUACGACAUGCCUUUUAAACCCGGGAUAAUUCUGGUCGCUCUUCUUUGCACUCUUUCUUGAGCAGCAAUAUCCUUUUUGUAACGAGGUGACGAGAACUGAACACAAUAUUCUAGAUGAGGUCUUACUAAUGCAUUGUAAAGUUUUAACAUUACUUCCCUUGAUUUAAAUUCAACACUUAUCACAAUAUAUCCGAGCAUCUUGUUGGCCUUUUUUUAUAGCUUCCCCACAUUGUCUACAUGAAGAAAUUUUAAUAAAGAACAAAAAU